GUCUUUUAGUUUUUAUUAAAGGUUUAAUCUGCCCAAUGAAAAUUUUAAAUGGCUGCGGUAAUUUGACCGUACAAAGGUAGCAUAGUAAUUAGUCUUUUAAUUUGAGUCUGGUAUGAAUGAUUGGAUGAGAAAAUUUCUUUCUUUAAUUUAUUAUUAAAAUUUUAUUUUUAAGUGAGAAAGCUUAAGUUUUUGUCUGGGACGAUAAGACCCUAUAGAGUUUAAUAAUUUUUUUUAUUAUUAUUAUUUUUAGAUGUUAAUAAUUUUUUUUAAUUGGAAUUAUUUUGUUGGGGUGAUAACUAAAUUUUUCUUUACUUUUGUUUUUUAAUUCAUUUUUGUUUGAUUAUUUUGAUCUAUUUUUAUUGAUUGUAAGAUGAAAUUACCUUAGGGAUAACAGCGUAAUUUAUUUUAAGAGUUCUUAUCGAAGAUUAAGUUUGCGACCUCGAUGUUGGAUUAAGAUUAGGAAAGGGUGAAGGUUUUCUUUAUACUAGGUCUGUUCGACCUUUAAAUUCUUACA
rnacentral:rRNA from 1 species